ACGCGUAGGUAACCUGCCUUGUAGCGGGGGAGUAACUAUUGGAAACGAUAGCUAAUACCGCAUAACAAUGGAUGACACAUGUCAUUUAUUUGAAAGGGGGCAAUUGCUCCACUACAAGAUGGACCUGCGUUGUAUUAGCUAGUAGGUGAGGUAAUGGCUCACCUAGGCGACGAUACAUAGCCGACCUGAGAGGGUGAUCGGCCACACUGGGACUGAGACACGGCCCAGACUCCUACGGGAGGCAGCAUG
rnacentral:rRNA from 1 species